UUGCUCACUUUGGUAGCACAUAUACUAACAUUAGAACGAUACAGAGAAGAUUAGCAUGGCCCCUGCACAAGGAUGACAUGCAUAUUAGUGAAUGAGAGAGCCAGACCU
rfam:Myotis brandtii contig158227, whole genome shotgun sequence.